AUUCCAGCUCCAAUAGCGUAUAUUAAAGUUGUUGCAGUUAAAACGCUCGUAGUCGGAUUUCGGGGCGGGCCGACCGGUCUGCCGAUGGGUAUGCACUGGCCGGCGCGUCCUUCCACCCGGAGACCGCGCCUACUCUUAACUGAGCGGGCGCGGGAGACGGGUCUUUUACUUUGAAAAAAUCAGAGUGUUUCAAGCAGGCAGUCGCUCUUGCAUGGAUUAGCAUGGGAUAAUGAAAUAGGACUCUGGUGCUAUUUUGUUGGUUUCGAACACCGGAGUAAUGAUUAACAGGGACAGUUGGGGGUAUUCGUAUUCCAUUGUCAGAGGUGAAAUUCUUGGAUUUAUGGAAGACGAACUACUGCGAAAGCAUUUACCAAGGAUGUUUUCAUCG
rnacentral:rRNA from 1 species